CUUGUUUUUGUAGUUGUACGUUUUCAAAAAUGGUGAGGACCGAGUUGUCUGCGAAGGCAAAGAAUAAAGUAAGUGCAUGCUUAAUGAAGUAGGAACUGUAAAUAAGCAAGAUGAAAAAUUAGAGUCUCUUCAUUUGCAGAGAGACACUUAAAUGGCGAACAGUGGAAUGAUGGACUAUUAUCUACAGUUAGGAAGCGGGUUCACAUGGAGUUAGAAAGAAAAGCAAUGCAGGGGGAUGCUAGCAUGGCAUUGAAUUCUCACUUCCAUGGGAAAAUUACUUAUAGAGCAGGAAAUAAGGUAAUUUGCUGUCUGGAGGGAGCUAGAAUUGGCAUCCAGUAU